GUGCCAGCCGCCGCGGUAAUACGGAGGAUGCAAGCGUUAUCCGGAUUUAUUGGGUUUAAAGGGUGCGUAGGCGGAUGAUUAAGCGUGAGGUGAAAUGCCAUGGCUCAACCAUGGAACUGCCUCGCGAACUGGUUAUCUGGAAUGAUCCUGCCGUGGGAGGAAUGGGUAGUGUAGCGGUGACAUGCAUAGAGAUUACCCAGAACACCGAUUGCGAAGGCAUCUCACGAAGGGUCGAUUGACGCUGAGGCACGAAAGCGUGGGGAGCGAACAGAAUUAGAUACUCUGGUAGUCCACGCUGUAAACGAUGAUGGCUAACCGCUGGGGCAAACGCUUCAGUGGCCAAGCGAAAGCGAUAAGCCAUCCACCUGGGGAGUACGACCGCAAGGUUGAAACUCAAAGGAAUUGACGGGGGCCCGCACAAGCGGAGGAACAUGUGGUUUAAUUCGAUGAUACGCGAGGAACCUUACCCGGGCUCGAACGGCAGAUGAAGAGAACCAGAGAUGGUGACGCCUUUCGGGGCAUCUGUCGAGGUGCUGCAUGGUUGUCGUCAGCUCGUGCCGUGAGGUGUCGGCUCAAGUGCCAUAACGAGCGCAACCCUUGCCGUCAGUUACCAGCACGUGAAGGUGGGGACUCUGACGGGACUGCCACCGCAAGGUGAGAGGAAGGGGGGGAUGACGUCAAAUCAGCACGGCCCUUACGUCCGGGGCGACACACGUGUUACAAUGGCGGCCACAGAGGGGCACUACCUGGUGACAGGAUGGGAAUCUCGAAAAGCCGUCUCAGUUCGGAUCGGAGUCUGCAACCCGACUCCGUGAAGCUGGAUUCGCUAGUAAUCGCGCAUCAGCCAUGGCGCGGUGAAUACGUUCCCGGGCCUUGCACACACCGCCCGU
rnacentral:rRNA from 1 species